UACAGAGGGUGCAAGCGUUAACCGGAAUUACUGGGCGUAAAGCGCGCGUAGGUGGUUUGUUAAGUUGGAUGUGAAAUCCCCGGGCUCAACCUGGGAACUGCAUCCAAAACUGGCAAGUAGAGUAGGGCAGAGGGUGGUGGAAUUUCCUGUGUAGCGGUGAAAUGCGUAGAUAUAGGAAGGAACACCAGUGGCGAAGGCGACCACCUGGGCUCAUACUGACACUGAGGUGCGAAAGCGUGGUGAGCCAAACAGGAUUAGAUAC
rnacentral:rRNA from 1 species